GGGACCCGGCGCGGGCGGAUGACGCCACAGUCGUGCGGGGAGCGCGACGUCCGGAGCGGCGCCGAGGCGGAGGAUUCGGAGGCGGCGGCGGUCGGAGCGCGGCCGGACGGGGCAUCAUGGCUUCCGUGGCGCUGAGCGAGGCGGAAAAGGUUUACAUCGUGCACGGCGUCCAGGAAGACCUCCGGGUGGAUGGUCGAGGCUGUGAAGAUUAUCGCUGUGCUGAAGUGGAAACAGAUGUGGUAUCCAACACCAGUGGGUCUGCAAGAGUCAAGCUGGGGCAUACUGAUAUCCUGGUGGGGGUCAAAGCAGAAAUGGGAAUGCCAAAGUUGGAAAGACCAGAUGAAGGCUACUUGGAAUUCUUUGUGGACUGCUCAGCCAAUGCCACUCCAGAAUUUGAAGGUCGAGGAGGUGAUGACCUGGGCACCGAGAUUGCUAAUAUCCUCUACCGGAUAUUUAACAACACGGGCAGCAUGGACCUAACAUCUCUCUGCAUCAGUCCGAGGGAGCACUGCUGGAUCCUCUACGUUGAUGUGUUGUUAUUGGAAUGUGGUGGGAAUUUAUUUGAUGCCAUCUCCAUUGCUGUAAAGGCUGCUCUCUUCAAUACAAGCAUCCCCAAGGUUCGAGUAUUGGAGGAUGAAGAGGGAUCAAAGGACAUUGAACUCUCUGAUGACCCUUAUGACUGUAUUAGACUAAAUAUAGAGAACGUGCCCUGCAUCAUCACUUUAAGCAAGUGUUCUUGGUAUUUUAGAUUGGCUACAGGCACGUGGUGGAUGCCACUCUUCAGGAAGAGGCUUGUUCUUUGGCCAGUCUUCUUGUUUCUGUGACCAGCAAAGGGGUGCUGACGUGCAUGAGGAAAGUGGGGAAAGGCAGCUUGGACCCAGAAAGUGUCUACGAGAUGAUGGAGACUGGGAAACGAGUAGGCAAGGUGUUACAUGCCUCCUUGCAGGCUGUUUUACAGAAAGAAGAAAACCUGGGACCCAAGAGACAGAAAGUUGGAUUUCUGGGAUAAAUUAUACUUCAACCAUUGUAACUGUGACUUUAAAAACAAACAAAAAAAAUCUACAAAAAUUUACAUUUUUAUUGGGUGGCUUGACCUUUGUAGCAUUUGUAUGUAUAAAAUUAAACUUUAUUUUUUGAGCUGUUUUGUGUUGACAUCUUUUUUUUUGGUAGUCACAAGCAAAAGACUUCUAAUUUGAUCAAACCUUUUAGAUGCAGUUUGAGAGUGAAGUCUGUGUUUGCACCUCUCCUUCUCAUGCCCUCCAAAUGACAGCUGAGUCCAUGCUAGGUGCUAGGGCUGAUCACUGAAGGAACGGAUCUGU